rnacentral:misc_RNA from 1 species
UGCGGCCGACGGCGUCGCGCGGCGUCGUUCGUCCCGUGAAAAUUUUCGGGAAAAUCUCGUCGCGACUUUCGUCCUCGUUAAAGAAAUUCUGAAACGUGAAAAAUGGAUUUUCACCGUCGUGGUGCGUGUGUUACGUGAUGAUGACUAACCAAGAUUCCUCUUUCGAUCCGGCUAUAUAAAAUUAUUUUUUAUGUUUUGACGUCCAAACAUUAAACAAAAAAAAAAUAAAUAAAUUUACAGUUUAGCACUAAUAUAAACAUUAUAUAAACAUGUCAUACAUAAUUAUAUAAAACGUUUAUGUAACCUCGCAAACAAAAAGUGACAAACCGAACAAUGUGCAUCGUCAUCAUCGGUGUUUCAGUGAACAGCAUCUGUGCCCCAUAGAUCAGCAGCAUUUUUUAUUUGAGGAUUAUAUUCCAGAUAUGAGUCGGACAAAUAAGGGAGACGGUUUAGCGAAAUCCGAACCCACGUCAAAGGAUAUGACAGCAGUUAAUGCGUCGAUUCAUGAAUUUUCACCGGUACGUUUGCCCCUUCAACCAUACUCCGGUAGUCCGGCGGUUUUUAUGUAUUCAACCGCGUCCAACGACGGUAGUGUCACCCUGCAGCUUAAAGAACAUGAAGCUUUUGACAGAAACGGUUUGGCGGUAAUGUUGGCAAAAAUCCAAGAGAACUCCUCUUUUCCCAUCUACUCUCAAGAAACUGAUCUGCUGUUAGACGAAGGAAUCAACGUUCUUUUAGGCUCCGGUAGUUCCGGAGAAAACUCCGGUACAGACACUGUAACCGCUUCUUUCGACUUCUUCGACUCGUCCAGUGCCCACGAUCUCACCCUAUCACCCCAAACUCUUUCCAAUACUACUGAGGCCUUAAUUAAUGACAAUUCUAACAGUUUAGGACUACCCGCCGAUAACGAUACCGUAUCGACAACAACAAAAGACGACGAGAAACCGUCGGGCAGCUACACGCCGGAACCGAAAGGAAAACGGGCCAAAACCAAACCGACUUCCCCUAAUAGACAAGGACCUCAGCAAUGUACGGUGUGCUCCAAGGUAUUCGGAAACGCAUCAGCUCUGGCCAAACAUAAGCUGACCCAUAGCGACGAGCGCAAGUACAUCUGCACCGUCUGCAACAAAGCGUUCAAACGUCAAGAUCACUUGAACGGCCACAUGUUGACGCACCGCAAUAAGAAACCGUACGAGUGUAAAGCGGACGGAUGCGGCAAGAGUUACUGUGACGCGAGAUCAUUGAGGAGACACAACGAGAACCACCACGUGACGUCACACUCUUCCGGUGGUAGUACGACGACCAUGUCGCCAGCACAGGGUGCGGCGAGUGGAGAUGCCGCAUCGCCGCACGGGAGCAGUUGCAUCCAGUACGCUCCACCCCCGUCUGGAUCUCCGAAGGAGGUUAAGGAGGGAAAGACGCAGUUGCAACAGUUGUUGUCUACGGAGUCGAAGAGCAUGGGAAGUAACAACGACGGUUUAACUAAGCAACAGUUGGACCUGAUCCAUCAGAUUAUGGAACAGACCCAGAGGCAGAGCCAGAACGUUCCCUCGCCCUCAUCCAGUAAACCGUCACCUAAGAAGUCCAAAUCCAGGAGUAAGGAUAAAACUGUGGCGGCGGCCAGUUCUACAUCUUGGUCACCAAAUUCGCAACAACAAUCAUGCACCCCAGUAAAGACAAUCUCCACGGGGGCACCGAGCCCCCAGGGCAAAGUGACCACCACGACCCCAUCGACCCCAUCCCCCACCGACCAGGAUAAGACCCCCAUUCUAAAACCGGUGGAAUGUAACCUUUGCAAAAGGCGUUUUAAGAACAUCCCAGCCCUGAAUGGACACAUGAGACUCCACGGGGGAUAUUUUAAAAAGGAUCCAGAUCCGAAAAAGACCGAUAAAAAAGAGCACACCGGCCCCCCACUCCAAACCGCAAGCAGCAGCGUCCGCGCCCUCAUCGAGGAAAAGAUCAUCAGCAAAAGAAACUCCUCACCGAGCACCAGCAGCUCCACCGAAACAGUGACGCACACCUCCUCAUCAACGCAAGUAGACAUGGACCCGAAACUCCCGUCGUUCGUGGUCCCCGCCCCUCCUCAACACUCUACAGUAGUCGACAAAACUCGUAGACAUUCCGACGCGGAGGCCCUGAAGACCUCCCACUCCUCACACAACUACCAAGACGCCCAAGCGAUCGCCGACUUGAUAGUCAAGAGGGAAAAAUUAUCGGUGAAACGCACCACCUCUGAUCCUGGCCAGAAUAAUACGUCUGCACAGCAGCUCCUACAGUACCGUUCCGAGUCGUUUUCCUUGGACGGAGUCGAGAUGUACCAGGAGGAACCCCAGUUCGUCACCCCCAGUCUGGAGGACGAGGUGUUCAGCAACAAUAGUAUGAUGCUCCAAGGGGUCGACCCCAAUCAGCUCCAGUUCCAAGCAGAUUCUCUGGACGACAAUUUGCUUUCAAUCAGAGAUGAGAACUUGCUAGGAAUCAAGCCCCAAGGGGAUGAGGACCUGCAGGAGCUGAGCCUGGAUGACAUAGCCAGUUUGCACGAGGAACCUAUGACCAUUUACCCUGGAGAGCAUACGCCUGAUCAGCAACCUAUACAGAUCAGCGCGAACCAAGUGAACCAGAGCUUGCAAGCUGUGCUGAACUCACCAUUACCAGAGAGCUUGGCGGAGUUCAGCACCUACCACAUCCAGUCUCCUAGCUACCAAACUCAAUCCCCUAGCAACUACGCUCGAUCUCCACACAUAUUCACCGCACAAUCACCUUUGCAAAGUCCCAUGAUCAGGCAUGACUCUCCGGGUUUCACUUAUCCAACCCCGCCGGCAAGCCACGAGGGGCAAAGCCCGUGCUUCGGACAAAACAUCCCUCUGGUAUCCCCCAGCGAGGAGUUCGGCCACGUUAUGGAGCGAGGCAUCGACGAGCCUCCGCAAGCCUCCUCACCACUCUCCGCAGCUUUUUUCACCAGCACCAUGUCCAGCUCGGCGGAAGUCGAGGAGGCGAUCCAGGAAGUACUGCCCGGCGAAAGCCUCAAUGAAGACAACCUCUACCCUCUUUCAAACACACCCCCCUCGCAAUCUGAGAACGACUCUUUAGGUCUCACUCCGGUACCAUCCCCGCAAGUUUCUACCUCAAUCCCCUCGCCGCAUCCCUCCUCGAGUCAAUCAAUCCUCAAACCGUCUUCGGGUCAAUCUGGAUGGGGCACACCUCUAAUGCUUUCCAACUCUGAGGAUCCGUUACUGUCCAGUCAGCCCAAGGAUUGCGCUCCCAAGAAACGGAUUCAAUUGAACGGGGUGCCGGUGAGAUUGGUGAGUAAUCACGGACUGAUCGAGUUGAACAGCACCAACUUCACCGGGUUACUGGUGGAUGCCAAUGGGGAGUUGAAGCUGAUCCAGGCGAGCGGAGGCAGUUUUCCGGUGAAGAAUUUCGUGCUGUCCAAUGCUCAGCUGGUCACCACCAGCGGACAGGACCUGGGGAUGAAGGACAGCAGGGUGAAGGUGCAGAAGCUGACUAUUACCAAAGCUGUGCCCGCGAGUCCGGUGGCUACGAAGCUGAUCGCUAACAGGGCGAAGCUGGAGGUGAAACGGGAGGAUUGUAACGAUGUGUUUCUCAGUCCCACCACGAUUCCGACCAAUAGUCCAUCAAGGCAAUCGAGGAAGAGGUUGAGGAAUGAGCCGUUACCGUCGUCCCACCAUCAGUCGAAGCUGAGGACUACUAGGAUAAAGGGGCAGGGGACCGUAAGGUACACCGCCCAACCGAUUUUGAAUCCACAAAGGGGCGGCAGUGGACUUUAUUCCAGUAUAAAGUUUAAGUUGGGUGACGACCCCAACUGGAACGAUCCGCCUCCGGAAACAGACGCCACUCCUCACAUCAACAUCGGCCCUCAGAGCCAAUGCACCAUUCCCGCCUAUAGGGGAGUGCCAAAACGUACUACGCCACAACCCGUCUACGAAGAUCUCCUAUGGGAUCCUGGCAUUGGAGACUGUACGGAUUCCGAAGUGGAUAUGUAUCUGGAGUUCGCCUGUUGUGCCGCCAUCCCAGGCGGCGGUAGAAACAAAGAAUAUGCCAUGCAUCUCCUUCACAUGUGUUCCGGGAACAUUCAUGAGGCGAUGCUUCGUUUGAUGCAACCCACCCCACAUUUGCCCGCCGAUCAUCCCCUGUUGGCUUAUUCGUACUGUGAGAGCGAGAAGUGGACUUCGCUGGAGACGGAUUUGUUCCAUAGAUGUUUGUUGAAGUUCGACAAGGAUUUUAAUAGGAUAGCAGAAGAGAUAAAAUCGAAAUCGCUGAAGCAGUGUGUCCAGUUUUACUACGUGUGGAAGAAAGUGUGUGCGGACGAGUACAGCAGACUGAAGGCGCUCAGACAGAUGAAGAGGAAUCACAGGAAUCUGUCCGAUGCGGACGAUAAGGGUUUCCCGGAUGUUAAACUGUUGGGGAUGGCCGAGGGUGAUUCGCCCAUGAGACAUUUUUCGUGCGAAUAUCCCGAGUGUUCAGCCAGCUUCAAUUCGAGGGCGGCAUUGAACGGCCACAUCCGGAUCCACGGCGGCACGUCGCGCAACUCGCCGACGCCCUCGUCGACUGCGGGCGGCAACGGGGGCGGCAACCCGCCGUCCGAUCGCCGCCCAUCUGCCGCCGCAGCCGCCGCCGCGGCGCACGCGCACUCGUUCACCGUCUCGUCGACGAUCUGCCAUCCGGAUUCGACCGAUCAAGAGUAUCCGUGCAAGAUAUGCGGGAAGUAAGUUUACCGUACCGUAUCCGUCAUAAUCCGCCUAUCUAAAUCAAUCAAUUACAGAGUGUUUUCAAAAAUCAAGAGUCGCAGCGCGCACAUGAAAUCGCAUCGACCGCCGGACGCGGAGCCGUCGCGACGCCGCACCAACGACCACAAAGAACCCAAAGAAGUGGCCAAAGUGAAGGAGGAACUCCCUU